AGCUCCAAUAGCGUAUAUUAAAAUUGUUGCAGUUAAAAAGCUCGUAGUUGGAUUUCUGGCCUUGUGAGCGCGACCCGCCCCCGUUUUACUGGUGUGUGUCGCUGUUCACGGGCCAUCCUCGCGGUCGCCCGCGCCGUUCUUCAUUGGGCGGUGUGUGGUGUUCCGCGUCUUUUACUUUGAAAAAAUUAGAGUGUUCAAAGCAGGCUUGCGCUGUGAAUACAUUAGCAUGGAAUAAUAAGCUAGGACUUCCGUCCGAUUUUGUUGGUUUCCCGGUUGGAAGUAAUGAUUGAUAGGGAUAGUUGGGGGUGCUCGUAUUCAGCGGCCAGAGGUGAAAUUCUUGGAUUCGCUGAAGACGUACUUAUGCGAAAGCAUUCACCAAGGAUGUCUUCU
rnacentral:rRNA from 1 species